rnacentral:rRNA from 1 species
GAUGAACGCUGGCGGCGUGCCUAAUACAUGCAAGUCGAGCGAACGGACGAGAAGCUUGCUUCUCUGAUGUUAGCGGCGGACGGGUGAGUAACACGUGGAUAACCUACCUAUAAGACUGGGAUAACUUCGGGAAACCGGAGCUAAUACCGGAUAAUCUUUUGAACCGCAUGGUUCAAAAGUGAAAGACGGUCUUGCUGUCACUUAUAGAUGGAUCCGCGCUGCAUUAGCUAGUUGGUAAGGUAACGGCUUACCAAGGCAACGAUGCAUAGCCGACCUGAGAGGGGGAUCGGCCACACUGGAACUGAGACACGGUCCAGACUCCUGCGGGAGGCAGCAGUAGGGAAUCUUCCGCAAUGGGCGAAAGCCUGACGGAGCAACGCCGCGUGAGUGAUGAAGGUCUUCGGAUCGUAAAACUCUGUUAUUAGGGAAGAACAUAUGUGUAAGUAACUGUGCACAUCUUGACGGUACCUAAUCAGAAAGCCACGGCUAACUACGUG